CUACGUAGGGGGCGAGCGUUGUCCGGAAUGAUUGGGCGUAAAGGGCGCGUAGGCGGCGCGGUAAGUCUGGAGUGAAAGUCCUGCUUUCAAGGUGGGAAUUGCUUUGGAUACUGCCGCGCUUGAGUGCAGGAGAGGUUAUCGGAAUUCCCGGUGUAGCGGUGAAAUGCGUAGAGAUCGGGAGGAACACCAGUGGCGAAGGCGGGUAACUGGACUGCAACUGACGCUGAGGCGCGAAAGUGUGGGGAGCAAACAGGAUUAGAUACCCUGGUAGUCCAUGCCGUAAACGAUGAAUACUAGGUGUAGGGGGUAUCGACUCCCUCUGUGCCGCAGUUAACACAAUAAGUAUUCCGCCUGGGGAGUACGGCCGCAAGGUUGAAACUCAAAUGAAUUGACGGGG
rnacentral:rRNA from 1 species